AGCUUUGCGCAGUGGCAGUAUCGUAGCCAAUGAGGUUUAUCCGAGGCGCGAUUAUUGCUAAUUGAUCUCUGGGUUGGUAUCAGACUCUUUUUCAACCUAGCUCUCCAACUAACCCAUAAUUUUAUUGGGCUUAGCCC